rnacentral:tRNA from 1 species
UUCCCGUCGACCGCGGCGGACCCGCCCCGGCCCUGAGCCGGAGCCCCGCGCGGGGAUUGCGCGAGGUCCCGGGUCAAGCCCGGGACGGGGAU